rnacentral:lncRNA from 1 species
AAGAAAAAAAAGGAAAAAAAAAGAAACAAAAAUUUUAAAAUACAAAGAAAUAGAAGAAAGAAUAAGAAUGGUAGGAAUAAGGAGAGAAAAAAAUCAAGAGAUUAUAUAGCUGAUUGCACAAUAAAGAAGAAUGCAGCUGGACAUGGUGGUACAUGCCUUUGGCCUCAGUGCUUGGGAACCAGAGGCAAGUGGAUCUCUGUGAGUUCAAGGCCAGCCUGGUCUAUAGGGAUAGUUUCAGGACUUCUCUAUUACACAGAGAAACCCUAUCUCAUAGAAAAAAGAAAAGACCCAGGAAUUUCACCUAACCAAUGGCACAGGUUCCUUCCCGUCUGGGCCAGUUCCCUGAGCAGACCUCAGGCACAAACUCCUCAGCCAGUCCUACAACACUCAGAGGAAGCUCCACUCCUAGGCACUCUAACAUACCCAGGAUCAUAGUAUCAGAGGUGAGGAGGAUACAACAUCUGUCCCAACACUGGGAAUACCUGGGUCUAGUAGGACCCAGGCAUGAAGGAACUCUGCUUGAUCAGUGGCAUGGGUUCCUUCUGGUCUGGGCCAGUGCCCUGAGCAGACCACGGGCACAAACUAGGCAGCCAGUCCCACAUCACACAGAGGAAGCCCCACUCCCAGGUGCUUUAACAUGCCCAGGAUCAGAGGAACACAGGAUCCUAGGAGCUUGAUCACACUGGGAUGUGAGGGUCCCAGGGGCAACUUGACUCCCAGGAGCUCACACACCCAGGAUCUCAGGAUCAUAAGAUCACAGAAUCACAGGAUCACAGAGAUAUCUUGACUCUGAGGAGUUCUGACACAACCAGGAUCACAUGAAGGCUAGGCUCCAAUCAGAUACAGCAAGGGAAGGUAGCACUAAAGAUAAUCAGAUGGUAGGAGGAAAACAUAAGAAUAUAAGCAACAGAAACCAAGGUUACUUGGCAUCAUUAAAAUGCAGUUCUCCCACCAUAGCAAGUCCUGGAUACACCAUCACACUGGAAAAGCAAGAUUCAAAUCUAAAAUCACUUCUCAUGAUGAUAGAGGAUCUUAAGAAGAUCGUAAAUAACUCCUUUAAAGAAAUACAGGAGAACACAGGUAAACAGAAGCCCUUAGAGAGGAAACAAAAAUCCCUUAAAUAAUUACAAGAAAACACAAUCAAACAGGAGAAGGAAAUGAACAAAACCAUCUAAGAUCUAAAAAUGU